rnacentral:lncRNA from 1 species
GUGGGCACAUUUUAUUUUUAAUCCAAACUGUAACAGAGGAGCUUUAUACAAAUGCAGAUUCUCAGCCUCAGCCCUGGAACUUCUCACCUGUGAGCACAAAUCUUAAGACAAGCCAGUGGGACUUAAUCCUGGAGUUGCUUCACUUGGAGAAUAAAACUGUCCACAGAAGGGAGAGCUUGAUAGCUAAUGAAGCCAACACAGAGGACAGCAGAGCCAAGAAUGGGGAGAGAGACUUGGCACUAUUUGAGCACCUGGAUUCAGCCAUACCUGAAGCCAACAUGUGACAAUCUCUUUUAAGAACCAAAGGAACCAAAGGAGGGAUUUAUGCUUUGUAGUGCCUCAAACCAUACUCUGAAAAUCCUUAACCUAAACAUCCCAAUAAAAGUUAUAAAUGUUAUAACUGAAGUUCCACGUCCCAGGUUCUUUACCAAUAUUUGCCAUUUUUAUUGUUGUUAACAGCCAUCCUAGCCCAGGCAUGGUGGCGCAUACUUGGGAGGCCAAGGCAAGAGUAUUGCCAUGAGUUUGAGGCCUGCCUGGGAUACACAGUGAGCUCAAGGCCAGCCUGAACUACAUAGUGAGACCCUGUCUCAAAAAACAAACAAAACCAAAC